CCGAGUUUACAACUCCCAAACCCAUGUGAACAUACCUACUGUUGCUUCGGCGGGAUUGCCCCGGGCGCCUCGAGUGCCCCGGAUCAGGCGCCCGCCUAGGAAGCUUAACUCUUGUUUUAUUUUGGAAUCUUCUGAGUAGUUUUUACAAAUAAAUAA
rnacentral:misc_RNA from 1 species